rnacentral:lncRNA from 1 species
UGGGAGUCCUAUUUAUUUUAUAAAGAAAUGAAUAUUGUUAAUGAAGAAAUGAAAACAGAAAAUUUUUUAAAAAAUAUUUUUUUAACUAUUCCGUUUUUUAGUAGUCAUAACAAUUAUAAUAAUAAUAACAAAAAAUCUAUCAAUAAUAAUAAAAAUAAUAAAAAAGAUUAUGAAUUUUUUGAGGAAAUAUUAACAUGUUUAUUAUUAAAACCAAGUAUAUUUAUAAAUGUGCUAAAUAAAUUAUACUCUUUUUUUUUUUUUGAUUCUUCUUGUUCCUCUGCUUAUGAUAGUAUGAAGACUGAUGACAGUGGCAAAACUUUAAUUAAUACAACAUCUUGUUGUCCAAUUGUAUCUACAAUAGAAAAAAAAAAAAAAAAAAAAAAAAAAAAAGUUAACGUGAGUAGUAUGUAUAUAGAUGCUGGUUUUGAUAAUCCAUUGAGUGAUAUAGGUAGUGGGUCUGCAACUAAGAAGGUACAUAUUAGUAGUAAUGACCGUGUCGUACAUUUACCAAGGGAAACACACGAUGAUAAAAAAGUUCGUAGAUAUAUUUUGAACUACCUUUUUAAUAUAUAUUAUGAAAAAUAUUUAGGCCUAAAAAAUUUAUAUAACACAUUUAAUAUACAUAAUACAUAUAAGUUAAGAUAUUGUAAUACAGAAAAAAAUUUAUUUAAAUUUAUAAGUUUUGAAAAAGUUGAAUUAGAAAAAAGAAGUAUCUUAUUAAUUAAAAGUAAAAAUGUGAAUGAUGAUUUUUUGUUAGGAGUUGUAAAAAAAUGUGAACGAAUCGAUAAUUUUUAUUUUAUUUAUUUGGAGUUGAAAAGGUAUAGCGGUGGUAGUAGUAUCAGUAGCACUCUGGAUAGGAGUGGUAGUCUGGAUAGUAGUGGCAGUCUGGAUAGUAGUGGCAGUCUGGAUAGUAGUGGUAGGCCCUUGGUAUAUGAAGACCUAGACAUAAGCGAAGAAUGUACUGAAGUAUACAUAAACAAUAAUAGAAAUGAAAUCGGUUUGUCCUUUUCAGUUACGGAGGAAAGCACUAAUAGUGAUGAUGUGGAGGGGAAAAAUGG